AUUGAACGCUGGCGGCAUGCCUUACACAUGCAAGUCGAACGGCAGCACGGGUGCUUGCACCUGGUGGCGAGUGGCGAACGGGUGAGUAAUACAUCGGAACAUGUCCUGUAGUGGGGGAUAGCCCGGCGAAAGCCGGAUUAAUACCGCAUACGAUCUACGGAUGAAAGCGGGGGACCUUCGGGCCUCGCGCUAUAGGGUUGGCCGAUGGCUGAUUAGCUAGUUGGUGGGGUAAAGGCCUACCAAGGCGACGAUCAGUAGCUGGUCUGAGAGGACGCCCAGCCACACUGGGACUGAGACACGGCCCAGACUCCUACGGGAGGCAGCAGUGGGGAAUUUUGGACAAUGGGCGAAAGCCUGAUCCAGCAAUGCCGCGUGUGUGAAGAAGGCCUUCGGGUUGUAAAGCACUUUUGUCCGGAAAGAAAUCCUUGGCCCUAAUACGGUCGGGGGAUGACGGUACCGGAAGAAUAAGCACCGGCUAACUACGUG
rnacentral:rRNA from 1 species